UGAAAUAUUUGGUUUUAAAUUAUAGUAAUCAUUAAAAGAAUACUUUGAUUAUUUAUACUUAAUAUAUUAAUAGGUCUUCCCUAACAAAGAUAAAUAGAACAGUUGUUGUUAAGGAAGACCUGUUGUAUAGCUAAAAUAUUUCAAUUUUGAAAUAAAUUAUCUAAAUCACACUUAUUAGGUUGAAAUAUCCAUAAUAUAUAUAUAUAUCAUGGAGACUCUCUCUUAGGAUCUAUACAGAUAGUUCUAGAUAACAAGACAAUAUCAGGACAGCAUUUGUUUUUCUAAAUUCACAAAACAGUUCUAUUUUUGAUUUGGUCCCAUUCUUCUAUUAAUCAAGCAGAAUUACUAGCCAUCUGGAAAGCUUUAAAUGAUAUCUUCACACACAAGAACUCUGCAAACAAUAACACUACAGAAUACUCACAGACAACAAGUAACUUUAGUUCAAAUCUACAACACAAUAUUCACUCUUCACUGGUCAAUAUUAUCUGUCAGCUAAUGCAGCUAUUUACAGUAGAUUAUAUUUUCACUGAAUCUCUGAUCAUACAAUUAUUGCCUGUUGUAGCAAAUGAGAAGGCCCAAUUAACUUAUAAAAUAUGCUGUAAACAGAGUUCUAAACAUAAUAUACUCAAUGAUUCUCCUCAUAAUAAUGAAAAGACUUUAAAAAACAUCACCUUUGAGUGUUGGCAGAAUUAUAAAAUGAAACACACUGUAAACUCUGUCAUCAAUUCUUACAUAGAAUGAGAAUAAGCACAUCAUCCACUUAUUGGUUAACCUACUCAUUACAAAUCAUGAAAACUUAUAACAAUACUUAUACCAUUUAUAUCACAGAGUCAGUUUAUCUAGCCUUUAAUGACAUCAUAUCAUUUGUUCUUUUCCUGCAGCAAAUACAUAUGACAAAUUGAAAUUCGAAAGAACAUAUGGCUGAUUACAGCUGGCCAUGCAUAUUACAUAAGCUCAGAAAUAAAAACAAUGUAGAAAUAAAUUUGAAAGUUACAUGAAAGAAAUAGAGGCACUUCAUGUUAAUUUCUUUGAAAAUUAAUAAACAGUCAUAGCUACAUCUACAGUCAAGCCUUGUAGACCAAUAAUCUUUUUACUAUCUUAACUUUCAUUGGAUAUAUUAAAACACAAUCCAUCAAGUUUAUCUCACUGUAUGAUGCCUCAACAUUAGAUCAUGAAGCCUAUCUAAUGUGCCUUAUAUUGUAACUGCUACUUUUUCCAUCCAUACUGUCCAUUCUUCUUUAACUUGAUUUAAAUUCUUUAUUUUGAACUGCCUUCCUCUAUUCCUGUUUUCUUGGUAUAAAUAAUUAACUCACAAGGGGAGGUCGCAGCUGUCGGGUCCGGGAUUUGGACGAUUUUUGUAUGUGUUGAUCUGCAGUC
rnacentral:lncRNA from 1 species